rnacentral:sRNA from 1 species
AUGCUCCUAUGUUGUGUUAAGUGUUGGCAGAUAUUCGGACCCCGCCCUAGCGGUCCGAACUUGGACCCCGAACUUCCCCCUCCCCCCAUGAAGUCCGGGGUUUUUUUUGCCUGCCG